CUGCUUCCACCCUCCCGGGACUACGCGACGGAUCUUCCGGGAGUCCGCCGGCUUGAGAGCUGCAGCCGCCUCGGCACGGUUCCGCCCUCACCUCAGGGGUGACUCGGCUGGUUCCUCACGUGCAGCGGACCCUGAACGGGCCAUGGGCGGCUCUCGGUUUGGGCAGCAUCUGCUUCGCCCAGGGCCCAGCGGUAGGCCCGGAGCCGUUCGGACGCCCGCACAGAGCGGCCCAGCCCGGGGGAGCUGCGGCUGAGGGCGGGCCUCUGACCUUCUCUCGCUCCGUGUUCCGCUGCAGUUUCUUUCAUAGGGGCUGUGUCGCUUUGUAUACGUCCGUCAGAAAUAGGUACGGUACAGUUUAACCCGAGGAGUGCUGAAGAGGCCAUUGCCCACGUUCAGCCAGGUUUUUCUUCUGUAGAGCCUUUCCAUAAGCUGCUGUGAAACGUGGGGAAACGUGGACAGUCCUUGUCUAGGUGGUUGCUUUGCUCUUUAAUGGCACUGCUCGGCCUCAGGAUCUUUCUAGACGAAUAGAUUUUUCAGUCACUUUUCCUUUGGAAAUAAAGGACUGUAAGUCAGCUCUGGUGAUUCUAAAGAACCCACCUUCCCCUCGUGCGCUAUGUGGCCUGUUGCUUUGUGCCUUGUUGUGUUCUGGAAAUGCUACUAGAGAUAAAAGUUGUGAAAUGCAACUGUUAAAGCAAUUUUGGUUGCAGCUGUGAAUUGGAAGACAAACACUCUGUAAUGACUGAGUUUAGUUCUAGCACUUCUGAUGGCAGUUCAUACACUGUCAGAAUUCUGACAUAAAGUUCAAGAAAAACUACAGCACAGUAGCAUUUUGGUUGAUUCUAUUGAUUGAAGGUCUUGGCUGUGAUUCUUAUUAUUGUGUAAACUUGAGAAGGUAAGAAACUCCAGAUGUACUCAAGUGAACUGGAAAGCGGCUAUGAGUCAUUGAAUUUAAUGGCAGAAGCUUUCUGUAAUUCUGACGUUCUUCUCAAGGAUGAGGGCAUUUUGUGAACAAAACCAGGCCACCUGAGGAGUUGCAGCUGUGGCUGUAACAUGCCAGAGAUCUGUAGUGCCGUAAAAUGAACAUACAGAGAUCUUUUUUUUUUUUUUUUUUUUUUAAUGUGUCAGCGUUAAAAUGGAAUAGCUAAUAAGUGAGCAAAUGUUGACAAAAUUUGCUAAGAAAACUGUAGUAAUUGAUCAAAAGAAAUCCAGUCUCUGGUCUGUUGUCAGAGGUAGUCCUGGAAUAUUCUUCCAGCAGUUGUGACCUGUGGCUAAUAAAUUUCAUGAGCUGGAGCCUGUCUUUGUGCACUCUGUGUAACUCUAUCCAAAUGACUUACGGAGUUGGGCAAGGUUACAGCAUUCAUGGUAUUUGGCUGAAAAGUGAGUAUUAGCAUAUCCAGGUGCUGCAGGAAGUAGAGACUUCUGUGUGCUUAAACUCGCUGCUUCAUAAUUUAAUUUGAUGGCUAUUAAGACUUGUUGCAUAAGGUGAAGAAUAAUAAAGGUUCUGUGAUAGCUGCAGAACUUGGCUUCCCCUUCUCUGUGCUCUUUGUGGUUGAAAAAGCAGAGUCCGUUUUGUACAGUGAGUGGUUUGUACCUCCUGUCAUCCUUUCCCAUACCUUGUGUCAUACUCCUUUGUUGUUUCUGAUAAGUAGAGGCCUGCACUAUCCACAGGAUUCAGUGUGUCCCUGCUUGAGCAGGGGUUUGGCCAGAUGACUUCCAGAGAUCCCUUCUAACCUAAACGACUCUGCCAUUCUCUGAUGCAGGAUGAAUGUAGAGUAAUUGAAGUAUAUAGUUUUGUCUCCUAUGUUCUGUAUUACUUGCCAGAUAUUUCCAAACAUUCUGUCUGGUUUUUGAGCAGUGAUCUGAUCACUCCAGUCACUCCAGAAUGUGGAGAAAAAGCAGCAAGAGUUGGCAGAAGUAAAGAGAGGAAAGAUGGCAACAGGUGAACCUCAAAUAACUAACUAUUAGUGCAAUAAAUUCAAGAUUAAUGCACAUAGAAUGGAAACCAGGGAGAAAAAAAAGCCUCUGGGGAGAAGUCUUUUGCAUUAUGGGUGUCUUCCUGUUGGAAUCUUGCAUUACAGGAAAUUGAGGCUGCCUUGUAAACUAAAGUAUUUACUUUAAAAAAAAAAUGGGGAAAUAAGAAGUUAACAGUUAAAGUUCUACACUUGUAGAACCCCUGGGGGUCUCAGGCAUUCCUUCUUUUGCUUGGAGGAAGGCACCUCUGUGAAUGUAUUUCCUUAUUGUAACAUUUGUAUAUGGGAAGACACAUGUCUUUUUUCAACAUGCUGCAGUUUCUGCUUUUGGAAGGCAAUGGCAGUGAAUGGGUGAAACUCUGGGUGAGAUGAGGCUGUCAUUGUUAUCGCAACUAGCAGACCAAAGAGGGAGGAUGGGAUGCACCGGCUGAAUUUGUGCAAGAUGACACAGUCAUCAUGGCAAGAUAUACAGAUAGAGUAUAUGCUCUUUUUCUCUAAAGAUGAAGCUGCCACCAUUUCAGUCCUUAUUACAACUUCAAGAGAUAGUGUUUCACCACAAUAGUACUGUUAACAAGCUUUUAAACUUAUUUUGCUGCGUAACGCCUACCUUUGCAUGUCAAAACCUCUGUCUUAUUUUACAAAAUUUAUUCUGUUGGUGAAGGGGUACAGGACUGUGGUGUUGCUGUUUACUGAAAGGCAUCUUUUAAGUUCCUCUUGAGAACAAUACAUAAACCACUGUGUGACAUCCAAUUUCUAGCAUCUCUGUUCUCUCUUCCUGGCUCUUUUUCAUACCAUAACGCUAAUCCAGAGCACAACGUUUGGAGUCACUGUGGCAUACAACCAAGAGCAUUUGUGGCUGUCCAACAAGAACCUGAUUGUGAAGCUUCAGGCUUGCUGUUGAGGCUACCUCGUUUGUCAGGAAUUUGACUCCUGAUUUGAUUUUUUUUCUGAAGAAGCAAGUUCCAGUGGUCACUCACAUCCAGGCAUGAAAUCCCUUAAUUUUGUUUGAAACUUGUACUUGUCAGUUGCUCUCCAUGUGCACACUUACUGGGUAGUUUUCUUCAACAUAAAGAGUUGCCACAUAAUUAGAUAUCUUCUCCUCAUUUUGCAGAUUAUUGAAAGGCAUUUCCUUCUCCUGAAGAAUAUCUUUGUAUAUGUUACUUCUCUUUGUGAUAUAUGAGCAAUAAACUCAAGCAGAACGGCAGAGAGAAAAAGCACAUCUGAGAAAUGUUCACCUAUCAUGUCAGCAUCUUAUCUGGUGUUUUGGAAAUAGGACAAUAUGAAGUAUGUGUAGUGGAAAUACUAAGACACAGCCUGAAACAGUGAUUGGGCACCUGAUGAGAAGGCAGGGCCAACCCAGGGGAGCUCAGGUGCAAGCAGUGUAUCACUCAGUGACUGGAAGGGGUGGAGCCAGGAUCCACCCCUUCCCAGCCCUCAUUUAAGGGUUGGCAGGGGAAGGUGAGGGCAUCUCUUGCUGGAGAUCUCUGCCUACCUUUGGCUGCUUCUAUUUAACGUCUUUAUUAACGUUCUUGAUAAGGGGAUUGAGUGUACCCUCAUAUGCAGUUUACAGGUGAUACCAAGCUGGGAGGGAGUGUUGGUAUGCCAGAGGGGAGAAAGGAAAUACAGAGGGACCUAAAUAGACUAGAUUGAUGGGCCAAGGUAAACUGUAUGAGUUUCAAUAGGGCCAAGUGUCAGGUCCUGCACUGGUUGUGAAUGAGAGAAUUUAUGUCAAAUCGCUUGAUAUCCAAACCGAUCCAGUGGAUAUUUACAAGCCUUGAGUGGGCCGGAUGGAAUGUCAUAGUGGCGAGGCCAGGUAUGGAAGCUGUUACUAUGAUGUUUCUUCUAAGAGUUGCACGGCUGUUUUGCGUUGCUCUGUUAAUCAUCCCAUGCCAUCCUUGGCUUCACUGCACGCAUCUGUCUGAUUGAUACCAUGUUUUUUCAUCACCUCAGAUGCUGGCUGAAAAAAAAAAAAAAAUUUAAAAACGCAUGACAACAUCAGUUUGCUGGACAUUUAUUUAUUUAUUUACAGAUAUUCAUAAGCACUCAGCACGGGUUUGGUGGGUUUGUCGAAGUUUUCCUUGUUUUUCUUCGUCGUCUCCUCUUCUCUCCCCCUUCCUCUCAUAGUUGUGUUUUUUUUCUUCUGCCAUCAAAAGAGAACCUGAUCCGCGCCGCAGUCCCCGGCGAUCCGGUCAAUCCGGUUAGGGAAGUUGUUUCCGCCGUCUCUGGUGCCCCCGCGUGGCCAAUCGGUGGAACUGUGGCAGCGUAUAUUGUUUGCUGCCGCCGACUGCAAGACGCCUGGAUGCGGAAGUGGCGAAUCUGAGUUUUGACCACUCUGCGCAGCCAAUCCGCCAAUCUUUAUGGUGAGAAGUCCUCAAGUCGGCAACACGCAUGCGCUCGAUGAUGUACAGAACGCACGGCUUUUGGACGAGCAUCCAAUUAGUUCGUCGCCGCGGUGGACUAGCAGGCGUCCCCUUCCACCCCUCCGCCCUGCAACGUCCCUCAUCCGUUUGCAAGCACUCUCGACCACCGUGGAACGCGAGCGGCUCGGAGAUUCGCGGUUGCAGAACCGGCGCGGAGCGGCUCCGGCACUGCAGCCUCCCGGGACCGGCACGGAGCGACUCCGCGGUCACCCCAAGCGGUGCCCUGCCAACUUCCCUAGGAGCUACUGAAUGGGCUUUUCCGUCUGUCCCGUCCCGUCCCACCCCCGACCACCGAGCUCCUUCACGUGGCGGUGCCUCACGGCUCCAGCCACCUCGCCACGCGCUGCAGAUGCUGCUCAGCAGUGGAGAGCUGCAUAUCCAGGAAUGCCCCGGAACCCAACUUAGGUGACUGCCCAAGCAGGUAAGGACCAUGCAUGUAUGCAAAUCUUUCCCUAUUUCACCGCGUGGCAUAAUGUAGUGCUUCCGGAGCUCGUUACGACGUGGUAGGGCACCUUCUUGGCUGCGUGUUCAUUUCCUCCUGCCUUUCCCUUGCUUUCCCCAUGUUUCCACCUUGCUUUGCCCUGUUAUUCCCACUGCCUUCCUCUGUGUUACUCAGGUGUUGUGCUUCCUUUGUGAAUAUCAAAUCCUUGAGCACUGCUGCUCCACGAGAGAGUUAUCCAGUCGGCUUGCAUUAGUUCGCUUUGUGCCCAGGGCCUUUUUCUGGGGCCCUAGAGCAUAGAAGCGAAUAUCAGCUGGGGGCCUCAUUGGCUGGGAUGUAGCUUUAAAUUAAACCUUGACCCGGACUCCAAGCCACAUAGGAACUGUAAAGAUAACUGUAUUAACACACAGUGUAACUCUAGUACUAACCCUUAUCCUGACGCUAAAAUCAUCUCUGACUCUAAAUGUAACAAUAAAAAUCAUGCUCAAAGUUUGUAGCAAAAGGAACCUUAACCCUGAUCAUAAUCCAAAGAACAGUCGUUGAAGUAACCGAUCUUCACCCUAAAAGUAACGUUUAUCAUAGGCUAAUGACCCGAAAAUAAUUGUACCAGCCAUCACCCUGAAGAACCCCUGAAAAUGACCCAGAGAAGUCACUGUAAAAGUAACGCUGACGGUAUUCUCAGUCCUAAGGGUGACUCUAACCUCAGUGCUAACAGAAUGCUAAGGAUCAUUGUAGUGGCCCUAAAAUUCUGGUAGUGUGACAGCAGUGCUGCCCUGCACAUGUUGGGCAGUCCCAUUGGUAUUGCAUUGCCUGCUAAAUACAGGUGGCAGUGCAGUGUUGCUCCCAGGCAGUACAAGGACUGCAAGGACAGCUUUCUGGCUCUCCGUGACAACAGCAGGCAAGCUGAGCGUUCCGGAAUGUCCUGGAACCCAACUUGCUGCCUGACUGCUUGUUGCUCAAAUAGGUCAGAGCAAUGCGUAGACUCAAGUAUAUGGUCAUUAAGUAGUGUGGAAUGCUCUGUUUUUCCCAGAGCUCAUUAAUGUGCCUUAUGGCAUCUUUGUGCCUUAGAUCUCUCUCCGGGGCACAGGAGCAUAGAAGCAGGUUGUGUGUGGGGGGUCAGAUUUGGGGGGCAGGCGAUUCCCUUGGUGGGGUCCAAGUGGUGGGUCCAGAGCCCAAACCCAAAUGAACCGAAUGCUGCCCGGGUUUGCGGAAGGCCUCCUGGGUUCACAGCUAGGAAAUGCACUGCUGGGAGGCCAACAGAAUGAAUUGAGGCCAGGGGCAGUUAGCACAAAGAGCUCCUGGCCUUGGGUCUCAGUUGCUCUGACUCGCUGGAAAAUAUUCCCCCGAGCUUGCAGGUUUUCCUCCCAGUAAGCUGGUACUCUGUUCCACUUCCUUAGUAUGUAUCCCUAGAAGGAGGGUUAUAGAAGAAGAAGAGACAAGAUCUGAAGCAUUUUAAAAACUAACAAAAGAGCAGAAAAGAAACUCCACACCAAACUGCACUGACCCAGUGAAGACAGCAGAUUGAAUGGUGGAAGGCUUUGAGAACUGUUCUGUUGUUCACUUGUGGUUUCAUUAGUCAUGAACUUGCACACCUUAAUUUUUCAGGCCGCUUGGUGUUUGUUGGCUGAUGGAAGCCCCCUCUGUCACUUGGCUGAUGAUUAAUUUCACAAAAGAACAACAGCAUCACUGAUGCGGUGGUGCCUUUUUUCGUUCAAGCUGAAGUUGUGGUCACCGUUUCCUUUGGUCUUGAACAGUGUGGCACUAGGCUUGACCCAGUGUGAAAUCUGAACUGUGGCAGUAAAGUUCAGUUCUGAAGGAGGCUCCAACUCUUGGGCUGAUGCGGGCAGCAAAAAGUUCCAUCAUUCACAGAGGAUGUGGAGACAGUGAGGCAGCAAAAUAGAAAACAGCCCAGUUUAGAAAGAAAGGCAUUUUCAAACAUCUUCAGGGUGCUUCCGGCUCUGAUAGUAAUCACUGCUAAAAGCAAUUAGUCCUUCUGGGCUUCUCAGGAAACUCAGGAAUUUGGGGACAAAAUGGAGAACUCACUGCUCUAACAAAUGACAUUCCCCUUCGUCAGCCCCAGAUAUGCCUGGCUUCUGACUUCUCCACAUGCAAAAAAGCGGCCUCUCAGGUGCAACUUUUUUCAGUAUUGCUUGUUCUGAAAUAUUUAAGCGUGGGAUCUGUCCCUCUCUGUUCUUUGCAGGAGGUCAUUUCUCACUGUGAAAGGCUUUCUAAGGAGCAUGAGAAGCAGCUCUUUGACACCACGAGGCUGAGCAAGCAAAAGGGUGGUUUGAAAUCUUUGAGCAAAAAGAGGGGAAAAAAGCUGGAAGCAUGUUGGCAUCUGUUCUACUUCCUUGCACUGCACACAUCUGUCCGAUUGAUACCAUGUUUUUUCAUCACCUCAGAUGCAGGCUGAAAAAAAAUAUAUAUUUUUAAAAAAGCAUGACAACAUCAAGUUGCUGGUUAUUUAUUUAUUUAUUUACACAUAUUCAUAAGCACGUAUACAUAAGCAGUUUUCUUUGGUUUUCCUCGUCGUCUCUCCUUCUCCCUCCUCUCCUCCUUCUGUGUUUUUUUUUUUUUUUCCCUCAGCAGCUCUGGGGAAACUCACCAAGUGCUCUGGUCAGGAGGAUCCCUGGGCUGCCCUGCACCUCUUCCAGAAUUCAUCUUUGCUGGUCCCAGCAUGCAACGGUCAGAGAGCCCACCUUCUUUGUGCCAUCAGCUCCCUCACCUGCAGAACUGGCUUUUAAAUGGUGCCCAAGAGCUGGGAAAGCGAUGUUUAGGAUUCAGUAUUCAUAGAAUCGCAGAAGGGUGCUGCAGCAUGGCACCCCAUGAGUGGCUGUGUGUCACCUCCAGUGGCACCUGCAGGGACAGCCCAGCACUGUGUGGGGAUGUGGGGGCAGGACUAAUCGGGGAACAGUGGGGACCUUGUGGGGACAUUAGGGGAAGUGAGGAGUGGGGGACACCGGGACAUGGGGAUAUGGAGAGGGACAUCAUGGGGAUGUUGGGGGGGACUUUGGAGGGGGACUUUGAGGACAAUAGGGGAACACUGGGCAAUGUGGAAACACUGGGACAUGGGUACAAACACAGGGGACACUGUAGGGACCCAGGGACAGGUGCCCUCACUGAGGUGGCCCUGGCUCUGUGGAAUACCAUCCCCAAGGGGUGCCAGAUGGUACCCGUGGUCCCGUGUGUGUCCUCACCGCGGUUGCACAGUGUCAGCACUGUGGUCAUGUUGGCCAUGUGGCCGCCCAGCAGCAGCAUGGCACUGGGUGUCACCAUGACCUCCAGGUUGGGCUGGCAGUGCUCAUCUGUCACGUAGUGCUGCUUGAAUGGCACCAGCACCUCCUGAUGCGGCCUGCUGCCUCCCUGUGUCACCUCCAUGUGUCACCUCUUCUCACCUCUGUAGUUCUGACCCCACAUGUCCCUGUGUCCCCACACAUCCCCUGAUGUCCACAUGUCCCCUCAAGUCCCCCCAUGUCCCCCGCCCCACUUCGCUCCAUGCCGAUGUCACCGUGGGCUAGAGAAUGGGGACAGGGAUGCCUGUGGGGUGCGUGGAGUCCAGGGAGAAGUUGAUGGCCAUGUGCAGUGGGGUGAUGGUGUCCUCGGGGUGCAGCUGUGACAGUGGGGUGGGAGUAGUACCCAACAAGUGGGGGUCAUUGUCCCCACAGUGGGGCUUGUCCCCCAUGCAUGUGGGCAAGUUGUACAGGGAGUGCAUUCUGGAGAUGAUUUUCUGCAAAUCUGUUGUGACUUCAGAAAUCCCACGUCGUGCCACAGCAGAAAUGGGGUACUGCAGUAUGUCAGUGAUCUCUGAUUUGAGGAGCUCAGGGGCUGCACAAAGUAAACACUCUGCAGCCUCCCUAUUUCUUUGGGGUUUGGGAUCGAUGUUUGAGUCAAAAGGCUACAUGCUGCCAUACAGGCAGGUGCCAGGUUCACCCACUGAGGACACUAAAUCCUACACUAUUUUCACAGUGGUCUUCAAUUGCAAAGUGAGUAGAUGACACGUUUCUCACUGGAGAGCCAUAAGCUGAUCCAGGCAGUUUGGCAGACAGCACUCACUCUGUUCACACCUGGAAUCUCAGCCCUUUUGUUGCACGUGCAGCUUCUCAGCAUCUUGAUGUAUCAGUAUUGAAAUCUGUGCUACCCUGUCUAUUAGAAAUUUCACCAAUUGCCUUUGAGGACAGACUGGAAUCAAAAUAUGUGGGCCAUCAUAACUUGUCCAUUGAUAAACCUCCUUGCCUUGGACAAGCAGACCCAGCUGGCCAAUUUUUUGCUUUUUUUUUUUUUUUUUUUUGCCUUUAUGGGAACUUUGAGAUCACAGCCUGAAGCAGUGAUGGAACACCUGGUGAGGGGUGUAGCCAGCCCUGCAAGCACAGGUGGAAGGAAUUCCAGAUGGGGCUGAGCCUGUCUCCACCCCUCCCUAACCUCAUGUAAGGGCUGGCAGCCCCAGAGGCAUUGUCUCUAUCUGGAGCCUGCUUCCUGUAGGUUGCUGGGUGAGCCCUGGUCCUGGGAAAGAAGUAAGUGAUUCUUUCUUUAUUGCAGGGGUUUUGAUCUCUGCCUUUCUGAGGGGAUCCUAAGCUGGUUUAGGGCAGCUAUAUCUGCUAUGCCUGUCCUUGUGAUGCCCUUCAAUUGUUCUCUGAGAAAAGUGAAGAGGUUAUCUCCCUUUCUCUGACCUGGUAAUAGAGAGACUGACGUACAUUCCUUUCUUUUGUUAUUAUCUCAUUUCUGGAGUGCUUCAAUCAGCCCCAAGGUAAUGCUGGCUGGCUUACUGAGCACUGCAACUCCAGAAAUGCCUGGAGCUGGUGCUCUUUUCCAUAAAGGGAUUCUGUGUUUUCUGGAUCUUCUUUGCAAUUCUUUUUAAGCUCAAUACCUUCUUGUUAAGUCUCUGUUCCCUUUCAUGAUUCUCGUCUCACAAUCUCCAACCUGGGGCUCUAAACUUGGUUUGUCUGCCACCAUGUUGUCCUAGCCCAUUUUGUGAUGUGUACUCUCUGUGUCCCCCUCCGUGUUCUCUCUGUGUCCUCAUGCCCCACUCAUGUCUUUGUGUCCUCUCCCCAUGUCUGCUCUGAGUCUCCUGUGCCGUGUAUUAAUUCCACCCAUGCAGAGUAUUGUUUAAGGUCAUGUAUUUAAAUUACAUGCGUCCCUUUUGAUCUCAUUCUAUUUUGCAGCUCAAUGGGGUUUAAGGAUUUCUGGGGCUCCUCUAGCUAGUGGUUUAAGCACUGUGAAAUCUUUGGAGCAGAUAAUGGAACACCACGAGCCCCUUGUUCUUGCAUGGCUUGUAUGCAGGCAGGUUUUGUGGUAGCUGUGGGAAGCUCACUUAAAGAUGAAAUGUGGGUCACAAGGGGCUCACCUUGCUCCGUGGGGUCUAUUUUUCCAGCCCAAUAAGCUACAUGGCUAGUGAUAGAGUGAGGUGCAUCUACCAGGCUGGGACCUGAGCUUAAGAAAACCCCCAGGCCCCAGUAGCCAUUUUCUUCAUCCUCACUUGGUGCAAUACAGUCUCCACUGCUCGACCAUACUAAACACAAAUAUUCUGUUCCUGUUUUGUCUGGUUCUCUCCUAUAUCGCCCUUACAAAUUUGCCAGUGGUAACAGAUGCCAGGGCAUAAUUCUCAGAGCACGCUGUGGCCGACCACCCUGGGGUCCUGUGGUACUUCCUGUUUUUAUGGCAGAUCUGGCUUUGUAUUUAUAGGAGACAAGGGAUUGUCCUCCACUGGACUGCUUUGUCAGGAUGACCCCAGAUAUCUCUAUUCCAGUUGUCUGGGGAUGCUAUUAGCUUCCUAAUCUGUAUGAUUCCCCAACCCCCCGCCCCUUUUCCUUCCAUCCCCCGUCCCCACUAAAUCUGCAGCUAUGGGACUGAACAGCGUGAUGAAGUGGGGCCUCUGAUCUGCUGAAUACUGAGACUGACACAGAGAGGCUCCACGGCUGAUCUGGAUCUUCCUGUUUGGAGUACUUUGUGAUUUUCUCCAGAGCUGCUGAGCACGCAGGCUUCCCUGCCUGCCCUUGUUGCACACCAGGCCAUUGAUGUCCUUUGUGUCAUCAUGUCUCAUGGCUUCAGGUAUCAUACCAUAAACUCCUUAGAGUUGGAAAGGACCAUUUAUGAUGAUCUAGUCCAAUUUCCCUACAGCAAACAAGGACAUCCACGGCUAGAUCAGGUUGCCCAGGGCCUGAUCCAGCCUCACCUUGAAGGGGACAAGGCAUCCACCACAACUCUGGGCAACCUGUUCCACUGCCUCACCACCCUCGCUGUAAAAGAUAUUUUCCUUAUGUCUAACCUAAAUGUUCCCUUGUUCUUUCCUUUAGCUCCUCUUUAGGUAUUGAAAGGCUGUUACCAGGUCACCUCAGAGCCUUCACUUCUGCAGGCUGAACAGCCCCAGCUCCCUCAGCCUGACCUUGUAGGAGAGGUGUUCGAUCCCUUAGUUCACUUUUUUUGUGGCCAUCCUCUGGCUGUGCUCCAACAGGUCCAUGUCUCUUCUGCACUGAGGACUCUACAUCUGGAUGGAGUACUCCAGGUGAGGCCUCUUCAGUACAGAGCAGAGGGGCAGGAUCACCUCCCUGCACCUGCUGACCACGCUUCUUUUGAUGCUGACCAGGAUAUGGUUGGUUUUCUGGGCUGGGAGGGCACAUUGCUGGCUCACGUCCAGCUUGCCAUUCACCAGUACCUCCAGGUCUUUUGGGAGAGGCCUAUGCUCAGUCUUUUCAUCCCCCAGCAUGUAUUGGUAGUGGGGGGUUCUCUUGUCCCACGUGCAGGACACUGCACCUGGAUUUUUUGAACCUGAUGAGGUUCACCUGUGCCUGCUGCUUGAGCCUGUCUAGGUCCCUCUGUUUGGCGUCCUGUCCCUCUGGUGUGUCACCCCACAGCUUGGUGUUGUCAGCAAAUUUUCUGAGGGUGCACUCGACCCCACUGAUGAUGUCACUGAUGAAGAUAUUGAAGAGUAUCAGCCUCAGCAUGGACCCCUGUGGGACAACACUCAUCAUCAAUUGCCAUCCAGGUGUGGAGCCAUUGACCGCUGCUCUCUGGACUCAGUCCUGCAGCCAGUUCUUUGUCCAUUCAACAGUCCACCCAUCAAAACCGUAUUUUUCCAGCUUCCUAAAGCAGCUUCCUAAAACUCAAUCCAAUUGAAAUUCUCUGCUGUCUAGUAACAUGGACUUCUAUGAGACUGCGAGCUCAGGCUUUACAGGCCAGCAGUGGAGCCAACCAGGAGGCUUCUGGAUUUUCAAAAAGGACUGAGAAGGCUGAGAAUGAGGUGCUUUGUUUGACUUUUUACUGACUGUCUCACUUAAGGAUUCUGUCAGUCCGUAGGCAUGUUUGCUUGGUUUGGCUGGAGCUUUGGAGCUUGGUGCUUAUGACUUCAGUUCUUUCUGACACAGAGCUGCUUUGGACACUUGCUGCCUAGACCAAAUACAUACUUUGGCAGAGAUCACUCUAUGCACUGUUGUGGUUUUUUUUUUUUUUUUUAAUGUUUUGGAAGUGUGAAUGUGAUAUCUGCCUUCAAACAGGGAAUGUCUAAAAGAAAUUUAUUUAUUUAUUUUCUUGGAGCAGUCGUUCAGGGAAAUGUGGAUUCUUUCUUCUCUGCUGCUAUGUUUCCUGUAGUGGUAUUCUAGGAAUGGCUUCUGUCACUGAUUGCUUACUUGCUUAUUUUCAGUACUGAAAGAAAGCUACCAUUCUUUUUCUUCUGCCUACGUAGAACUCCCUUUGUUUCCUUUGUAGUUUUGAGCUGCGCUCUGGAACAGAAUGUACAGCUUGAUCUAGAACAGUUGCCAAAUAGGUGUCUGUGGGCAGAUGGUGCUGAACUUCCCAGACACAGGUCAUAAAGUUCCUUGCCUCCUUGCAAAUGUUCCUGUAUAUUCUUAUAUAACAUAUGUUACUGCUGUACUGAGAUUAUUAUUACAAAUCCAUUAUCUGUUUCCCAGAGGUGAUGCUGAGAAGCAUGCCACAUGAUGACAUAUGCAUACCUUGUGCUUCAUUUUAAUUCUUCCUUCAGGUCAAAAGUAGACUGAAAUCAUUGAAACUGUGCCUGGAAAUCUUGCUGUUAUUUAAACCGUUCAGCCGUGCUGCCCAUGGUCAGAAUGCCCUGCGGCAGAUCCUGGCACUGGUUGUGAAUGAAAGAACUGACAACAAAUUGCUCAAUAUCAAAUCUGAUCUCCUGGAUCUUUACAAGCCUUGGGUGAGCCAGAUGGAAUCUAAGAUGGGUGAGGCCAGGUAUGGAAGCUGUUACUGUGAUGUUUCUUAUAAGAGUUGCACGGCUGUUUUGCACUGCUCUGUUGAUCGUUCCAAGGCACCCUUGGCUUCGCUGCACGCAUCUGUCCGAUUGAGACCAUGUUUUUUCAUCACAUCAGAUGCUGGCUGAAAUAUAUGUAUGUAUAUGUAUUUAAAAAAAAAAAAAAAAAAAAGACGUGACAAGAUCAAUUUCCUGGUUAUGUAUUUAAUUAUUUGCAGGUAAUGGUAAGCACUUAGGACUAGUUUGGUGGGUGAGUCGAAGUUUUCCUUGUUUUUUUUUAAGUCGUCUCCCUUUCUCCCCCCCUUUCCUCUCCUGUGUUUUUUUUUUUCCACUGCUAUCGAAAGAAAGAGACGAGCGGAUACCCGUCGCAGGCCCUGGCGAACCGGUCAAACCGGUCGGGGGAGUUGUUCCCGUGGUAUCUCGUGCCCCCUCAUGGCCAGUCAGCGGAACUGCAUCGGCAUGGUUUCCACGGUCACUGGUGCCCUCUCGUGGCCAAGUGUGGGAACUGCGAAGAAUUAGUUUCGGCUCUCCCUGGUGCCACCACAUGGCCAAUCGGUGGAAUUGCAGCCGUGUUUGUUAGGAGGCGGAGGCAGCAAAACGCAUGCCCACAGACUCGCGGAAAUCAUUUAUGUAUUGUCCGGUCUUGCGCAGCCCAUCCUUCGAUCUUUAUUAUACUUAGUCCUCCAGGCAGUGCUACGCAUGCGCCGUGAAGCUUAAAAUUAGCAUCCAUUCCUCCUAAGCCCCGAGGGCCGGGCGGGCAGUCAAUUCCUGGUCCUCGGGCUCAGCGCUUCUUUUCUCUCUUGCGGUGUUGAGUGUUCGUUGCCUUUUUGCUCGGGGGGUUUGACACGCGGGCCUGCCACGGAAACUGACUAUUUUGGCUCCGAACGUACCCUACGCCCGUCGCAUGCGUAAUAAGAAGUCGAAAAACAGCAUGCUUAGGUGUGUGCCCGAAAAUACGCAUGAGAAAUAGUAUGUCCACGUUAGAAAACACUAGAGUACCACCGAGACUGGCGAAUGUAUUUCACUGUCACGGGAGUGCGCAUGCGUACUGCCGCCUCGCAGUUCGCGCAUGCGUACGGACGUCACGAGGUUCGCACAUGCGUAUUACGUUUAAGGAUCUCGCGCAUGCGUAAUACGUGCAUUAGGCUAGCACAUGCGUACUGGCGUCUCGAGGUUAGCGCAUGCGCAAGGAUGUCAAGCCUACGGCGCAUGCGUAGUACGCCCUAACCGGUUGCGCAAGCGUACUGUGGUUUCAAGGCUAGCGCAUGCGUACUGCCCCCCCCACCCAAAAGGAACGGCGCAUGCGUACUGCUACCUGGGGAUACACGCACGCGUACUGCCAUCACGAAGAUUGCACAUGCGUACAGCCGUACCGAAGAUGGCGCAUGCGUACUUUCGUCUCGCGGUUCACGCAGCCGUACUACACUCACACAUGUCGCGCUUGCGUACUACCAUCUCGAGGCUCGCUCAUGCCUAGUGCUGUCAAGGCUAUCGCGCAUGCGUAGCACAGCUACGUGACUCGCGCAUGCAUACUGCCGUCUCACGACUCCCGCAUGCGUACUGCCGUCUCGGGGCUCGCGCAUGCGUAUUGCCGUCUCGGGGCUCACGCAAGCGUACUGCCGUCCAUAAUAUCGCGCAUGCUUACUGCCAUCUCGAAAUUCGCGCAUGCAUAGUACCAUCUUCAAUCUAGCGCGUAAGUACUGCAGUCACCCGGCUCGCGCAUGCGUACUGCUGUCUAUGACGUCGCGCAUGCGUAGUGCCGUCCUUAAUGUCGCGCAUGCGUACUACCGUCACGGACCGCGCGCAUGCGUACUGCUGUCGCGAAAUUCGCGCAUGCCUACUACCGUCUCGAAUCUCGCGCAUGCGUACUGACGUCCAUAAUUUAGCGCAUGCGUACUGCCGUCUCGCAGUUAGCGCAUGCGUACUGCCAUCUCGACGCUCGAGCAUGCGUACUGCCUGCUCGCGGCUCGCGCACGCGUACUGCCGUUCAUUCUGUCGCGCAUGCUUACUGCCGUCUAUAAAACUGCGCAUGCGUACUACCAUUUCGCGGCUCGCGCACGCGUACUGCCGUCCAUGAUGUUGCGCAUGCGUACUGCCGUUCCGAAGCUCGCGCAUGCGUACUGCUGACUGUAAUGUCGCGCAUGCUUAUUACCGCCUCGCGGCUCGCGCAUGCAUACUGCUGUCCGUAAUAUCGCGCAUGCGUACUACCGUUUCGGGGCUCGCGCACGCAUACUGCCGUCUAUAAUGUCGCGCAUGCAUACUGCGGUCAGUAAUAUCGCGCAUGCGUACUACCGUCUCGGGGCUCACGCAUGCGUACUGCCGGCUCCAGGCUCGCGCAUGCGUACUGAGGUACAUAAUCUCGCGCACGCGUACUGCGGUCAGUAAUAUCGCGCAUCCGUACUGCCAUCUCGAGGAUUGCGCAUGCUUACUGCCGUCUCGAAGCACGCGCAUGCGGACUGCCGUCUACAACGUCGCGCAUGCGUACUACCGUCUAGCGUUUCGCGCAUGCGUAUUGCCGUCUCAAGACUCACGCAUGCGUACUGCC
ensembl:lncRNA